GAACUCUAUCAGCCGCUAUCCCUGACCGUUUCUGCCAGUCAUGGAUAGGGGCUCCUGCAGAGUCAGCCCCUGUUUUCACCUGGACAGAGCCUUGGGAAGCGGGUGGGAUCCUGACCUGGCUCCUCUCCAUACCUAGGACGAAAAGAGACUAGUCGCAAGCUUCCUGGUUCAGGGCGCGCUUGGAGGGCAUCCCAAGUGCGUGCAAGCGCACCAGAUCUGAAAAACUUGGCUAAACAAGCGAGUUUUGGGGCCGCGUGCGGAAACAGAGGAGUUUGAUAGGUGAAGCAUAUGCUCUAGGAGUACCAUGGUAACAUAUUCAGAAAAGAGAAGACAAUUUUACAUUGAACACAGAGUAUCUCCCAGUGUUAAACCACUGAAGCGAGCAACUCCGAAAGACUGUGAGCACAACUUAACUUUCUUCUUUGUAAUUUUUUCCCCAUGAUUAAGUGUCACAAAAGGAACACAUACAAUGACAUCAUUUUUGGCACUCAGAGAAGUGCUAGUAUAGCUAAGGCUGGCGAGGCCUUGCAGAGGUGGCAACUGCAAACCGUUGCCAGAGUGAUUCUGAGAUGAAACGAACAAACCACGAAACAAAAGACAAAACCCGGAGGCUGAGGAACCAGCCUUUCCUAAGUCUAUUCUGAAGGGCAAAUAACUUAAGGAGAAAAAA